rnacentral:tRNA from 1 species
ACUGAAAUAGCUCAGUUGGGAGAUCGUUAGACUAUGGAUCAAAAAGUCCCUGGUUCAAUCCCGAGUUUCGGCA